GAGUUUGAUCAUGGCUCAGGACGAACGCUGGCGGCGUGCCUAAUACAUGCAAGUAGAACGCUGAAGAGAGGAGCUUGCUCUUCUUGGAUGAGUUGCGAACGGGUGAGUAACGCGUAGGUAACCUGCCUUGUAGCGGGGGAUAACUAUUGGAAACGAUAGCUAAUACCGCAUAACAAUAGGUGACACAUGUCAUUUAUUUGAAAGGGGCAAUUGCUCCACUACAAGAUGGACCUGCGUUGUAUUAGCUAGUAGGUGAGGUAACGGCUCACCUAGGCGACGAUACAUAGCCGACCUGAGAGGGUGAUCGGCCAUACUGGGACUGAGACACGGCCCAGACUCCUACGGGAGGCAGCAGUAGGGAAUCUUCGGCAAUGGGGGCAACCCUGACCGAGCAACGCCGCGUGAGUGAAGAAGGUUUUCGGAUCGUAAAGCUCUGUUGUAAGUCAAGAACGAGUGUGAGAGUGGAAAGUUCACACUGUGACGGUAGCUUACCAGAAAGGGACGGCUAACUACGUGCCAGCAGCCGCGGUAAUACGUAGGUCCCGAGCGUUGUCCGGAUUUAUUGGGCGUAAAGCGAGCGCAGGCGGUUUGAUAAGUCUGAAGUUAAAGGCCGUGGCUCAACCAUAGUUCGCUUUGGAAACUGUCAAACUUGAGUGCAGAAGGGGAGAGUGGAAUUCCAUGUGUAGCGGUGAAAUGCGUAGAUAUAUGGAGGAACACCGGUGGCGAAAGCGGCUCUCUGGUCUGUAACUGACGCUGAGGCUCGAAAGCGUGGGGAGCGAACAGGAUUAGAUACCCUGGUAGUCCACGCCGUAAACGAUGAGUGCUAGGUGUUGGAUCCUUUCCGGGAUUCAGUGCCGCAGCUAACGCAUUAAGCACUCCGCCUGGGGAGUACGACCGCAAGGUUGAAACUCAAAGGAAUUGACGGGGGCCCGCACAAGCGGUGGAGCAUGUGGUUUAAUUCGAAGCAACGCGAAGAACCUUACCGGGUCUUGACAUCCCGAUGCUAUUUCUAGAGAUAGAAAGUUACUUCGGUACAUCGGUGACAGGUGGUGCAUGGUUGUCGUCAGCUCGUGUCGUGAGGUGUUGGGUUAAGUCCCGCAACGAGCGCAACCCCUAUUGUUAGUUGCCAUCAUUCAGUUGGGCACUCUAGCGAGACUGCCGGUAAUAAACCGGAGGAAGGUGGGGAUGACGUCAAAUCAUCAUGCCCCUUAUGACCUGGGCUACACACGUGCUACAAUGGUUGGUACAACGAGUUGCGAGUCGGUGACGGCAAGCUAAUCUCUUAAAGCCAAUCUCAGUUCGGAUUGUAGGCUGCAACUCGCCUACAUGAAGUCGGAAUCGCUAGUAAUCGCGGAUCAGCACGCCGCGGUGAAUACGUUCCCGGGCCUUGUACACACCGCCCGUC
rnacentral:rRNA from 1 species